rnacentral:misc_RNA from 1 species
GGAAAAUAUUGUCCAGAUUCUUGAUCUUUGUUUCCACAAGUCGCACACAUUUACAGACCAAGAAAUUGCAUUUCAAAUCAAGAAUUCAAGAAACAAAGAAUAAUGAGCACCGUUUCUGGUCAACCCUAUGAUCGUCUCAAAGAAAUCAAACAAUUUGAGGAUUCGAAGCUGGGAGUGAAAGGCCUGCUUGACUCCGGUAUCACCUCCAUCCCUCGUUUCUUCAUCCACCCAUCUGAAACACUCUCCGAUCUCAAACCCACCACCCGGCUCCAAACAUACACCACCAUCCCCACAAUCGACAUUUCUGAUCAACGAUCAAAGGUGGUCGAGCAAGUGGCACUUGCAUGCAGGGAGUUGGGUUUUUUUCAGAUUGUGAAUUACGGGAUCGCCCUGGAGGUUGUAGACCGUAUAAUCGGAGCAGUGAAGGGGUUCCAUGAGCAACCGGCAGAGGAGAAGGCGCGGUGUUAUUGUAGGGAAAUGGGCAGCGUUGUAUCUUUCUCGUCUAACUACGACUUGUUUCGUUCUAAAGCUGCUUGCUGUAGAGAUUCACUGCUAAUUAGGACCCGUCUCCCCUUGCCGGAGCUCGAGAAAAUUCCUGAUAUAUGUAGAAAAGAGGUGAUGGAAUGGGACGGAAAGAUCAAACCACUAGGGAUGUUCUUGAUGGAGGUAUUAUGUGAAGGACUUGGAUUGAAAUCAGAAAAGCUCGAGGAAAUUACUUGCUUGGAAGGGAGGGCCUUGGUGGAAAAUUACUAUCCCUGCUGCCCCCAACCCAAUCGCACAUUUGGGAAUGAGUGCCACAUAGAUCCUGGUGUUUUGACGGUGUUGCUACGGGAUCAUGUUGGUGGUUUACAAGUUAAAUGUGGUGGUGAUCGUCAAUGGGUAGAUGUUCAACCUCUUCCUGGUGCUCUUGUUAUCAAUGUUUUCAGAUGAUGUCCAAUGGAGAGUACCAAAGCGUAGAGCACAGGGUGUUGGCUAAUUCAUUGCAGGAAUCAUGAAUUUCUGUUGCUGCUUUCUUCAACCCAAGUGGCAUGGACAACUGGUAUGGACCCUUCCCAGGGCUUUUAUCGCCAGAGGAACCAGCUCUUUACAAGCAGUUCACUCUCGCAGACUUCAUGAAAAGGUUGCUUUUAAAAGAUGCAGAUGGCAAAUCGUUGACAAAUUAUUACAAGCUUCAAAAUUAAGUAGCAAACUUAAUGAACCCUUCAAUGUUGAAAUCAAACUAUUUUAUUCAUGUAUUUUGUGAUUAUUAAUA